UACGUAGGGGGCGAGCGUUGUCCGGAAUCAUUGGGCGUAAAGCGCGCGUAGGUGGCCUCAUAAGUCCGCUGUGAAAGUCAAAGGCUCAACGUUUGAAAGCCGGUGGAUACUGUGGGGCUAGAGUACGGAAGAGGCGAGUGGAAUUCCUGGUGUAGCGGUGGAAUGCGCAGAUAUCAGGAGGAACACCAAUAGCGAAGGCAGCUCGCUGGGACGUUACUGACACUGAGGCGCGAAAGCGUGGGGAGCGAACAGG
rnacentral:rRNA from 1 species